GACAGCUUUUUGAACGUUCGAUCUCAAAUCAGGUAGGAUUACCCGCUGAACUUAAGCAUAUCAAUAAGCGGAGGAAAAGAAACUAACAAGGAUUCCCCCUAGUAACUGCGAGUGAAGCGGGAAGAGCUCAAAUUUAAAAUCUGGCGUGCCUCUGGUCGUCCGAGUUGUAGUCUGAAGAAGCGUUUUCCGUGUUGGACCGUGUAUAAGUCUCUUGGAACAGGGCGUCAUAGAGGGUGAGAAUCCCGUCUUUGACACGGACUGCCAAUGCUUUGUGAUGCGCUCUCAAAGAGUCGAGUUGUUUGGGAAUGCAGCUCAAAAUGGGUGGUAAAUUCCAUCUAAAGCUAAAUAUAGGCGAGAGACCGAUAGCGAACAAGUACCGUGAGGGAAAGAUGAAAAGCACUUUGGAAAGAGAGUUAAACAGUACGUGAAAUUGCUGAAAGGGAAACGCUUGAAGUCAGUCGUGUCUGCCAGGACUCAGCCUUGCUUCUGCUUGGUGUACUUUCUGGUUGGACAGGCCAACAUCAAUUUCGACCGUUGGAGAAAGGCUUUGGGAAUGUGGCACCUUCGGGUGUGUUAUAGCCCUUUGUCGUAUACGACGGUUGGGAUUGAGGACCGCAGCACGCCUUUAUGGCCGGGGUUCGCCCACGUACGUGCUUAGGAUGUCGGCAUAAUGGCUUUAAGCGACCCGUCU
rnacentral:rRNA from 1 species